rnacentral:tRNA from 2 species
GCGGUAAUAGCUCAGUUGGUAGAGCACUAGCUUCCCAAGCUGGGGGUCGCGGGUUCGAGCCCCGUUUACCGCU